ensembl:lncRNA
ACUCAGUAUAACAGCCAUGCCUCUCCUGUGAUAUGUCUUAAUUAUCACAGAGGCGUAGCAAGGACAAACAACAGGUGUAGCUCAUUAAUUUAAUUAUGUGUCUGUAGGCGUGCCAGGGCCUAAUUAACAUCAUGAGACACACCUGUGUACGCCCCCAGGGUCACUGUAAUAACAACCCAGUAGCCAGAAAGUUGCUAUUUUAAAGUUUUUCGCAAACCACGGAAACGUUGAAACUCAGCGUUUCUGAACCAAAAUACGUUUGAUAUCAACGUCUCUAGACACCUUUUCGUAUGGGUUGGAACUGCUUAAAGGGACCCUAUUACACCAACAAGUUUGAGUGUGCCAGUGUGGGCAGCUUUUCAAACGGCUUUAUUGGCUAAUCACACUCAAACCUGGUUGCAUAAUCUGUUGGACCUUUAAGAAAUAACAAAAAAUGAUUGAUUCUUGGUUCCUGUGAUUGGAGCGGGAUGCUGUGGCCUACUGUCCACAAGUACCCCUACCUUCCCUGAGUUCCCGCCCAUCUUCGGCCUUAUGGGCACGACUUAAAGACUUUCAGACGACUAUCAAAAGGAAAGAACAGUUAUCUGUGACGAUGCAGACUACGGCUUCAAUGUCAACAUACAUACGAAGUGUUUCGACUGCUUAAAUGAACAGCUUCGUAUUCAGAAGGCCUUUUAUUCAAGUUUAAACAUUUUCUUUCCUGUAUAAAAUGAAUAAAUAUUGAAAAUGAUUACGCAUUGCGUUGUUGUACUGAUGGUGUUCUUUCUUCCUCAAUAGAUUACUCACUUUUUUUUUCAUGUAGUCAGAACCCUGUACUUAGUUUUCUUAGUGAAAAAGGUAACUUAGAACAGGACCAGGAAAAUUAGAUAAAAUUGUUUGUACGUCAAGGUUGCUGAGCACUGAAAUCAAGAAUACACUUCAUCUUAUCACAAGCAUUGUGUUGUAUGGCAAC